CCUCGGCCGGAGAGACUAACAGGGAUUCCCCUCAGUAACGGCAGAGUAGAAGCGGGAUCGAGCUCAAAUUUAAAAUCUGGCAGUCUUUGAUUGUCAGAGUUGUAAUCUAGAAAAGUGUUUUCCGCGCUGGACUGUGUACAAGUUUCCUGGAUACGGAACAUCAUAGAGGGUGAGAAUCCCGUCCUUGACACAGACUCCCAGUGCUCUGUGAUGCGCUCUCGACGAGUCGAGUUGUUUGGGAUUGCAGCUCAAAAUGGGAGGUAAAUUCCUUCUAAAGCUAAAUAUUGCCGAGAGACCGAUAGCGACCAACUUCCGUGUGGGACACAUGAAAAGUGGUUUGGAGACAUAG
rnacentral:rRNA from 1 species